rnacentral:rRNA from 1 species
UAGGGAAUCUUCCGCAAUGGACGCAAGUCUGACGGAGCAACGCCGCGUGAGUGAAGAAGGAUUUCGGUUCGUAAAACUCUGUUGUUAGAGAAGAACAGCGCAUAGAGUAACUGUUAUGCGUGUGACGGUAUCUAACCAGAAAGCCACGGCUAACUACGUGCCAGCAGCCGCGGUAAUACGUAGGUGGCAAGCGUUGUCCGGAUUGAUUGGGCGUAAAGCGAGCGCAGGCGGUCAAUUAAGUCUGAUGUGAAAGCCCCCGGCUCAACCGGGGAGGGUCAUUGGAAACUGAUUGACUUGAAUGCAGAAGAGGAGAAUGGAAUUCCAUGUGUAGCGGUGAAAUGCGUAGAUAUAGGGAGGAAAACCAGUGGCGAAGGCGACUCUCUGGUCUGUAACUGACGCUGAGGCUCGAAAGCGUGGGUAGCAAACAGG